AGCCUGUAGUCUAGUGGCUAAGAUGCAUGACUGGGACCCCUGAGGUUGGUGGUUCCACCCAGGGCUG